UACGGAUUCCUGUGCGAAAUUUUGAAUCGAGUUCCCGGCGAAGCAAACCCUAGUUGCUUCUCUUUCGAAGCGAGCGCUGCUUGUUCCCAUCGUCUCUUCCUCUGAGGCACUCUGGAAUUUGGAAUCAGACAACAACCUCCGCUUCCCUGCUUCGUGUUUUGAACUUCCUUCAACGUUGCAGCUUUUUCUCGGACAGUGUAUGGUUGAAACUAGUUUCCAGCGUUAGGAGUUUUGGCCGGGAUCGAUGUCAGGUUCGUACUGCGGGAAGCCAUGGAAAGACUGAAAUAACCGGAGAAAGCUGGUUUUUAGGUAGUAGCUGUUCAUUUUGAGGCGUUUCAAAUCAUGUUGUCAGCGGCGGCUACAUCUCCUUCGAUCGUUCGAAGUUCCCUUGAGGUGAUGCUGGAUUCCAUCAGGAUGAAGGAGGAGCAGCCAAAAGAUCUUCCACCUGCUUUGCCUGUCCGUCCCACCGCGAGAGGGCGCCUUCCUACUUCAAAAAGGUCCGUGGCUGUCAAUCUUAAAGUCGGACAAAGUGCAUCUGAGGAAAUUUUAAGGGGUCACGUCAAACGGGAUUUUGAGAAUGAAGAGAAAAUGCGAAGGGGUGAUAAAGAGGUGGUGUUUAGGAGUGGUGUAUUUGAUAGUAAGAAAGUGCGGAGGCUUGAGCGUCCAGAAGAGUCUCCCUAUGUCAUGAUGACGAAGCUAGAGAACCACGGAAAAAAGGUGGAGGUGAAUGAUUCAAGGCCUUCUUCUGUAGCACUGCCAUCAUCCAUCCCACGGAACAAGAAGUUGGGGAAGAGUGGCACUAGUGAAUGUGCCGUGAAGAAGAAUAUGCAAGUUUGGUGCUGGACUCAGGAAGCGAAGUGGGAGCUAGGUCACAUUCAAACAGUUUCAGGGGACAAUGUGAAAAUCUUGUUAUCUGAUGGAAAUGUUCUUUUGGUUACUGGUGAAGAUCUCUUGCCCGCCAACCCUCAUAUCCUUGAUGGUGUUGAUGAUCUUAUACAGCUUAGUUAUUUGAAUGAACCAUCAGUUCUCCACAAUCUUAGAUACCGCUACUCUUGUGAUAGUGUUUAUACUAAAGCAGGACCUGUUUUGGUUGCAAUCAAUCCAUUUAAAGAGGUACCCUUUUAUGGAAAAGAUUAUAUUACAGCAUACAAGCAGAAGCUCACAGAGAGCCCACAUGUCUUUGCAAUAGCAGAUUCUGCUUUUAAUGAAAUGAGGAGAGAUGGUGUAAAUCAAUCUAUUAUAAUAAGUGGUGAAAGUGGUGCCGGUAAAACUGAGACUGCAAAAUUCGCAAUGCUGUAUCUUGCAGAUCUCGGGGGUGGUUGUGGCAUAGAGGAUGAGGUUUUGCAGAGUAACUCGAUACUGGAAGCAUUUGGAAAUGCAAAAACUUCAAGAAAUGAUAACUCAAGCAGAUUUGGGAAACUUAUUGAAAUAAAUUUCAGUACUGCUGGAAAAAUUGGUGGUGCUAAAAUUCAAACUUUUUUACUUGAAAAGUCAAGGGUAGUUCAGAGACCAACAGGUGAAAGAUCAUAUCAUGUUUUCUAUCAACUUUGUGCUGGAGCUGCUCCGAGUCUCAAAGAGGAGUUGAAUCUAAGAACUGCUGAUGAAUAUGAAUAUUUGAAGCAAAGUAACUGCUUGACCAUAGACUAUGUUGAUGAUGCUCAGAGAUUUCACAAAUUAAUGGAAGCCUUGGAUGUCAUUCAAAUAUCUAAGCAAAAUCAAAAGCAUCUCUUCUCUACACUUACUGCAGUAUUAUGGCUGGGUAAUAUUUGCUUCUCAGUGGUAGAUAAUGAAAACCAUGUUGAAGUGGUCCUUGGUGAAGGAGUAGCUAAUGCAGCAAAGUUGAUGGAUUGUGAAAUACCUGAUUUAAUGCUAGCUUUAUCAACUCGUAAAAUCCAAGCUGGCAAUGAUAAUAUUAUCCAAAAGCUUACAUUACAGCAGGCAAUUGACACCCGGGAUGCAUUGGCAAAAACAAUGUAUUCUAGCUUAUUUGACUGGCUUGUCGAACAAAUUAACACAUCACUUGAAGUAGGAAAAUGCUACGCUGGACAAUCCAUUAGCAUUUUGGAUAUUUUCGGAUUUGAAUCUUUUCAUAAAAACGGUUUUGAACAGUUUUGCAUAAAUUAUUGUAAUGAGAAGCUACAACAACACUUCAAUCGCCACCUAUUUAAACUUGAACAGGAGGAAUAUGCCCAAGAUGGAAUUGACUGGGACAAAGUUGAAUUUGUGGAUAAUACUGAUUGCCUCAAUCUCUUUGAAAAGAAACCUUUAGGGCUAAUAUCCCUUUUGGACGAAGAGUCUACUUUUCCUAAAGCAUCAGAUCUAACUUUUGCUAACAAGCUCAUGCAGCACUUGACUGGUGACAACUGCUUUAAGGGGGAAAGAGGAGGUGCUUUUAGAAUUUCCCAUUAUGCUGGAGAGGUUUCAUAUGAUUCAAAUGGUUUCUUGGAGAAGAACAGAGAUACAUUGCAUACAGAUUUAGUCCAGCUUCUUGUUUCCUGUGCUCACCUGCUUCCCAAAUCAUUUCUCUACAACACACUGCAGUCUGAGAAGGAUCAAAGCCCGUUUCGACAACUAGGUAGUGUUGAUCUACGGAAGCUAAGUGUUGUGGCGAAAUUUAAGGGACAACUUUUCAAGUUGAUGCAAAGGUUAGAAAGUACUACUCCACAUUUUAUACGAUGUAUCAAGCCAAAUAGCAAGCAACUCGCAGGCUUGUACCAGCAUGAUCUUGUCUUACAACAGCUAAGAUGGUGUGGUGUUCUUGAAGUUGUCCGGAUAUCCAGAUCAGGCUAUCCAACUCGUAUAAAACAUCAACUAUUUGUUGAACGGUAUGGGUUUCUUCUCAUAAGAAAUUCAAAGCCUCAUGAUUCACUCAGUUUAGCAGUUGCCAUACUACAACAAUUCAAUGUGGCACCUGAGAUGUAUAGAGUGGGCUACACAAAGUUAUUUUUCCGAACAGGACAGAUUGCUACACUGGAAGAAGCUCGAAAUCAAGUUUUACGGGGGGUUGUUAAAGUUCAAAAGAACUUCCGUUGUUUUCAAGCCCAUAGGUGUUAUAGAGAAAUGAUGAGCGGAGCAACUACGAUACAAUCAUUUAUUCGUGGUCAAAAAGCAAGACACAAUUUUGAUGUUUUGGCAAGGAGAUGGAGUGUGGCUAUUCUUAUCCAAAAGCAUGUGAGACGACGAAUUGCUAAGAGGAGAUUUGGCUACCAGCAGAAGAGCAUUGUUCUUUUGCAAUCUCUUAUUCGUGGUUGGUUGGCAAGAAAGAAUUUUGCUGGCUGGCAUAUUCAGGAAAUGCCAAAACAAAAUCAUGUGCUAGUAAAGGAAACUUCAGAAAUGAAUCUUCCUCGACCAGUUGAGGUUCACCUUACAAAUACCAAUGAACUUCACAAGAGGGCCCUGAUGGCAGAGGCAGCAUUGAGAAAAAAGGAAGAGGAAAAUGCUAUAUUGCAGCAAAGACUUAAACAAUAUGAGUCAACAUGGUUGCAAUAUGAACUAAAAAUGAAGUCAAUGGAGCAGACAUGGCAGAAACAGCUAUGUAAUUUGCAGUUAAGUUUAGCCACUGCACAAAGGAGCCUCCUUCCUGAUGAUAUGACAAGCCAAUCUGAUCGGUUGGAUAUGUACCCAAUUAACCACAGCUAUGAGUCAGAAGAUACAUCUUUCAGUGAUCAAACACCUGAAGAAACUCCUACUAAACACAUUAUAGAUGGUGAAAUAGCAAGGAACAUUGAUUACAGAAGUAUAGCGGUUAUUCAUCUUGUAAAGGAGUUUGAGAAACAUCGGCAGACAUUUGAGGAUGAUGCUGGAUCCAUUGCCAAAGUGAAGGUAGGGCAAGCAAGUUCUAAAGUGAAUCCUGUUGAAGAACUGCAAAAGUUAAAGGCGCGGUUUUCUAGCUGGAAAAAGGCUUACAAAUUGCGCCUGCGAGAGACAAAGGCAUUGCUUCAAAAGUAUGGUCAUCCAGAAGAAAAGGCAUCCAAAAAAUGGUGGAGCGUAAUAAGCACAAGAUAAGGUAGGUGUAACAUUGAAAAAAAUCACAUGAAGAAUAGAAUCAAAUCUUUGAAGAUCAACUUCUUCCUGUCAUCUUUUUAAAAAUGCAAGUUGGGUUCAGUGGAAUUUGGUGGCCAAGAUAUUUGAAGCAACAGAAGUCUAGAGAGUGUUGAUUAAGGGAAAGGCAAAAGCAUCAAGAACUUCAAGAACACAAGUAUGUUGGAUUAGUUCAAGGUAGGACAACCAACAAUAAGUGAAGGGGCCAAAGCAACAAGGAAAUGAUCAUGACAAAAACAAGUUGAAACUUAAGAUAUCCAUGAUGUAAUGGUUAAUGUAAACGGUGAUGGCAAUGACACCAGCUAUUCAAAGUGCUCAGACCAUCACAAUAACUAAUAACUUAAAAAAUGUAAUUAGUUACCAGUGUGUUAUGUUGGAACAAGAAGGUUUUGUGCAACUAUUACAGAGAACGAAAACUUGGAAGUUGGCAAGCAUUUGUGUACUGGAAGAUAGCAUUCUUGAUGUCAAAACGAGGACAAGCUUCAGUUUUUGAUAGGUUGCCCAAAGGCCAGGAAAUUGACUUUGAUUCAGUGGCUGUUGUUGCUAUGAAAGAGCUACAUAACUAAUUUUCUUGCUACAGUUUGUAUCACAUGUAUAUAUUUAAAAUGGUAUCAUCUGCAUUUUGUAUUGAAUGUUGUUUCAUUGGUCUGAUAUUUGAGUCAACUGUCAUUUAUAGCAGUUCUGUAAUAUGAACAACGAUAUGAUAGAUGUUUUAUCAAAGAAAAUUAUUGUGCUUGAAUA